UUUUUUGUGAAUAAUUUGAGGAGGUACUGAUUGUGGAAGAUGAAAAUGGCAAUAUUUGUCGAAUGGGAAUAUGACACAAUGGAAGAUAAUGAUAUCCUUGUCGAGUAUAUAAGGUCAUGAGGGAAACACUGACCCUGUUUGUGUCAUCUAGAUCAUGAGGAUACAGCGCAACAUUGACCACUAUUGUUACCGGUGGAAUUGCUGUAGCAGUGUCGGGGGCUCGCAGCAAUUAUGUGACUGUUGUGGUUAUGAAUUUAGCUGCUACUCCUCUCGAGCUAAGAAUUUGGAGUCCAGGUUUCUACCUCUUUAUCCUGGGCUUCUGAAUGCUUGGACCUGUGGUGC